GUUCUCAUCACCCUCUUGUUCUUUCCGCUGCUCAGCUUCAUUCCUUCUUCUGUUCUGUGUUCUGUCUUCUUGUUCCUUCCACCUGAAACUCCACCAGACAAAUAGUUUAUUUUGUUUGUUUAAUUAUAUUUAUAUGCUUCCUCUUAUAUAGAAAAAGGAGUUCGAGAAAACCCACCAAGCUCAAGCUAAAAUGACAAGGUAUGUGGGCGGCUCUGUGUUUUUGUCUUUGUUCUUGUUCUUGUUCUUGUUCUUGUUAUUUCCGUCGGGGUUUUCUUUGUCUUCGAAUCAAACAUCCAUCAUGAUCAAUCUCUCUCGGCUCCUUAACAACUCUGCCUUAUCAUGGGAUGUUAAGAAACAGCCAGACCCAUGUUCAUGGAAGGGGGUUAAUUGCAGCAGUGACAAUUCUUCUGUGAUCAGUCUUUCUUUAAAUGGGGUUGGUCUUUCCUCUUCUGGGUUUUUGUCUCUUGUUUGCACGAUUGAAUCUUUGCAAUACCUUGAUCUUAGUGUAAAUAAUCUUUCUGGGUCUAUUCCUCAUUCAAUUGGAAAUCUCACCAAGUUGAGGACUUUGAUUUUGUCUUCCAAUAAUUUGGUUGGUGAAAUCCCCCAGGCCAUUGCAAACAUCUCAACCCUGUCUCGGUUUUCAGCAAAUCAGAAUGGUUUUGUUGGUAGAAUUCCAAGUGGAAUUACAAGAUAUCUUAGCCUGUUAGAUCUUAGUUAUAAUAACUUAAAUGGUUCUAUUCCAUCAGAUCUUUUAUCGCAGUCGAAUUUGCGCACUGUGGAUUUGUCUUAUAAUCAUUUGGAUGGUUUAAUACCUGAAGAUAUAUCCCAAAGCUUGGUUAGACUGAGAUUGGGAAGCAACCUUUUCAAUGGGUCGGUCCCUUCUUUGUUCACUUUAAACCAUCGGUUGACUUACUUGGAGCUGGAUAACAAUAGCUUGUCUGGUGUAAUACCUGAUGGGUUAGCUUCUUGCCGGAAUUUGGCACUGUUGAAUUUAGCUCAGAAUAAUCUCAGAGGUCAAUUGCCAGUGGCAUUGGGUAAUAUUAGCAAUCUUCAAGUUUUGAAACUUCAAUUCAACAAGCUGGUUGGAGAAAUCCCUGUAUCAAUCUCUCAAUUACACAAGCUGUCAACUC
rnacentral:misc_RNA from 1 species